CGGGGAAAGCGGUCUCCCCGCGAGGCGCCAUGCCAAAGAAUCGC
rnacentral:ncRNA from 1 species